CCCAGGAGCCUGACCCACUUCACCCGGUCCACCCACCUCCCUGGCCACCCAGACACACCAACUGGUCUCAUGAGCAACAGCAUCCCAGGACCAAGACUUGGUCAAAUCGGAGGGUGGGGAAAUGCCACGGUGAGUGAUGAAAGAGAGCUACCUAGAGAAUUGGGGACUGACCUCGACCUGCUGCAUGACCGCAGAUACUGAGACUCCCACCAGGUGCAAGAAGUUAACUACAUGAUGCCCAGACUGCAGCCACGACAGAAAGCUGCCACAACGCAGAGAGUUGGCAUUCAGAAAAUGGAAACAAAAGAGAGCCUGGAACUGAAGAUUAGUUGUACUUAAAACAAUCAAAACGAUGCUGGUCAGACCACCACGUGACCAAUUUCAAGAGGACUGUCAGAGCUGACUGUACUGUGUCUACAGGUAGCCCCUCCCUCCAUCUAUAAAAGCUUUUGCCCCCAAUUGUCAGUGGGGUGGGUUCUGCCUUUGGACGGGCGUCUGCCCUCCCCUCCCUCCAUUGCUGGCUUUGCUGAGAAAGACAGCCUGAAAUAAACUUUCCUUUCUACC